CCUACGGGAGGCAGCAGUGGGGAAUUUUGGACAAUGGGCGAAAGCCUGAUCCAGCAAUGCCGCGUGUGUGAAGAAGGCCUUCGGGUUGUAAAGCACUUUGUGAGAACUUACGGUACCGGAAGAAUAAGCACCGGCUAACUACGUGCCAGCAGCCGCGGUAAUACGUAGGGUGCAAGCGUUAAUCGGAAUUACUGGGCGUAAAGCGUGCGCAGGCGGUUUGUUAAGACAGAUGUGAAAUCCCCGGGCUCAACCUGGGAACUGCAUUUGUGACUGGCAAGCUAGAGUAUGGCAGAGGGGGGUGGAAUUCCGCGUGUAGCAGUGAAAUGCGUAGAUAUGCGGAGGAACACCGAUGGCGAAGGCAGCCCCCUGGGCCAAACUGACGCUCAUGCACGAAAGCGUGGGGAGCAAACAGGAUUAGAUACCCUUGUAGUC
rnacentral:rRNA from 1 species